rnacentral:lncRNA from 1 species
UGCGGCUCCAGGGGGCGGAACCGAGCCGUCUCCUCAGGACCUACGCAGGAGGCGCCGUCAUCCCUACAGGGACACCUGAGAGGGCCCAGCCUCCUCCUCCUCAGGACCUACUCGGGAGACGCCGCUGGCUCUCUAGGAACACCUGGGGACCGUGGCCAGGGACGACCCAGCCUCCUUCUCCUCAGCUCCUCAGGAACGACUGGGGAAGCUGUGGCUUCAUGGUCCCCGAGGCUGCCCGAGGAAAGACAGAGUCUCAACCAGGCUGGAGUGCAGUGGCGUGAUCUCGGCUCACUGCAACCUCCGCCUCCCAGGUUCAAGCGAUUCUCCUGCCUCAGCCUCCUGAGUAGCUGGUAUUACAGGUAUUUCAGGACAGCCAGGAGGGGGCGCACAUCCGCCGCGAAACUGUGAGCAAGAGCGUCUGUGCUGAACCAUGGCGCCACCAGAGGGCGCGCGAUCCCGCCCCAACCAACUUCCCGCUGAAGUGCCAGAAGCAGCGAGGAGCUUCAACUUCCUCAGGGCAGCACGGGGGUCGUGUUAAUUUGGUGUUCUUCAUUGAUGAUGAUUAUUCCCCACCUUCUAAGAGACAAAGACCAACGAGCCACCACAGCCACCAGUCCCAGAACCUGCCAAUGCUGGGGAACGGAAAAUGAGGGAGUUCAACUCUGGCCCUCACAAUCCAGUGGAGGAGACGAAACUCAUCUGCCUCUGUCCCUCUGGGCACGCCUCAUGCCAGGUGCAUCUGUGGACAGGGGCCAUGCUCCUGGGCUUCCAAAGUUGGAGAAAGCUGCCAGGCUCAGGUCUGAAGGCCAGAAUUCUACAGUAAGUCCUACUGAGUCAAGGUGGGAGCAGGGUCGGUAGCUUCCGAGGCUCUGCGGGAGAAUCCGUUUCCUGGCCGUAGAGGUGGCCUGCACUCCGCAGCUUGUGCUGCCCGUCUCGAAUGACUGGAGUUUCCUGCUUCUGUCACUACACCUCCCACCCUCUCCAUCACCUGCUCUGCUCUUACAAGGAUCCGAAGAAAUGGAAUCAUCGUAUCGCUGAUCUACGUAAACAAACUGAAGAAUUGUCUGAAAGAAAAUAUGACAUGAACUUAUGAAUUCAACAGGUGAAGAUUUACAACUUGAUAAAUCAACUUUGUCAGCUCGAGCUGUAAAAGCCAAAGGUCCGGUGAUGAUCCCAUACCCUUUUUUCCAGUCUCAUGUUGAAGAUUUUUAUGUAGAAGGCCUUCCCAAAGGAAUUUUUUUUUUUUUUUUUUUUUUUUGAGAUGGAGUUUUCACUCUUAUCGCCCAGGCUGGGGUGCAAUGGCGCAACCUUGCUGGUCACUGCAACCUCUGCCUCCUGGGUUCAAGAAAUUCUCCUGCCUUAGCCUCCCAAGUCACUGGGAUUACAGGUGCCCACCACCAUACCAGGCUAAUUUUUGUAUUUUUAGUGGAGAUGCGGUUUCACCAUGUUGGCCGGGCCAGUCUCGAACUCCUGACGUCAAGUGAUCUUCCCGCCUCGACUCCUGAUAUCAAGUGAUCUUCCCGCCUCGGCCUCCCAGAGUGCUGAGAUUACAGACGUGAACCCAUGCCUGGCCAGGAAUUUUGUUUUUUAGGAAGGCUUUCUACUAAUGGAAUUCCUGGCCUUGAGAGGAUGUUACUUUAGAAGGAAAGGAUUUUUUUGUUAUUAAAAGGUAAGAUUCCUGGAUUCUUAUUGGACUGUUGUCUCUGUUAUGAGUAAUCCAUCUUUAGUCAUUCACCACUAGGGUUGUAUUUAAUUAAGUCUGAGUUAUUUUAUGG